rnacentral:lncRNA from 1 species
AUCUCUCUUGACUUUUGGAUGGUAAAUAUUAUUAAUGCCAAUUGAGCUUAUCUGGUCUGCUUCAGUGAUCUCUUAUGAAUGAAGCUACUUGGUUGCUAUUGACCUAUUGUCAUGCCAGAAGCCAAAGUUUGAGUAACUAGCUAACAAUGAGCUAGCCAAGAUGAUUCAGUUGCAUCUAAAAUGAUUUCCUAAAAUAACGUGGUAGCGACGUGCUGGCAUGUGCAACACAAGGGGGUCCUGACGAGACUGGUACAUGUGGCAUUGACUUGGAGAUGAUGAGUACAACUGUACAAUAUGUGUUGGAAGUUUUCAAAAUAGUGAAAUUUUGAUUCAAACUCAGGUUUCUUGUGCUACUCCAAGAAGUAAAAACCACCAAGUCAAUUGAUCAUUUGUGUAAACACAUGUCUUCAAAAUUAUCUGGUGAAAAAUCAAACUGUCGGGAGGGCACACUAUAUAUUGUGUGGUACUAUUAUUGUAUAGAAUUGAAUUAGGUGCAGUCACUUGUGUGUGCAGCCGUGCAGCGAGCACCUCAGAACUGUCUGAUGGUAGCUAGAAAUGUAAGUUAUUAACUAUGAAAACGUAAGUCAUUAAUCACUUAUUUUACAUAGAUUUAUGUACUUAUGUCAUUUUGUAAGUCUCUAAAGCAAUAAGGUUGAAUAAGUUUUGUGGUUUGCAAGUUGGAAACGAAGAAUUUAAAAUUACUCAUCUUCAGUAUGUCGAUGACGCAUUGAUUUUUAGGGAUAAAAAGAGUCUGUGCAAUGUGAGAACAAUUGGAUUUAAUCUUUUGGUUUUUGAACUAAUUUCUAGGCUUAAUGUGAAUUUUUUCAAGAGUUUGUUGGUUGGCAUUAAUAUGUUUGUAGCUCUUGGUCAAAUGAAGUUUUUUUUACAAUAAGGUCAAAUGAAGUUGUUGCCAUGUUAAAUUGCAAAGUAGAUAGAACCCUUUUAAGUACUUGGGGUUGCCUAUUGGUGUCAACUUGCCAAAAAAUUGAUGUUUUGGAAUCAUGUGGUUGAAAGGAUUAUAGGAAGAUUGUCUUUUUGGAAGUUUUGUAGUUUAUUUACAUGAGC